GAUGAACGCUGGCGGCGUGCCUAAUACAUGCAAGUAGAACGCUGAAGCUUGGUGCUUGCACCGAGCGGAUGAGUUGCGAACGGGUGAGUAACGCGUAGGUAACCUGCCUCUUAGCGGGGGAUAACUAUUGGAAACGAUAGCUAAUACCGCAUAAAAGUCGACAUUGCAUGAUGUUGACUUGAAAGGUGCAAUUGCAUCACUAAGAGAUGGACCUGCGUUGUAUUAGCUAGUUGGUGAGGUAACGGCUCACCAAGGCGACGAUACAUAGCCGACCUGAGAGGGUGAUCGGCCACACUGGGACUGAGACACGGCCCAGACUCCUACGGGAGGCAGCAGUAGGGAAUCUUCGGCAAUGGGGGCAACCCUGACCGAGCAACGCCGCGUGAGUGAAGAAGGUUUUCGGAUCGUAAAGCUCUGUUGUAAGAGAAGAACGAGUGUGAGAGUGGAAAGUUCACACUGUGACGGUAACUACCAGAAAGG
rnacentral:rRNA from 1 species